CAAAGGGUAGCGCUACAUGCUUUUCAUCACAAAGCAAUCACAUCAUGGGGUAGAGGGAAGGAUUCUCCUCAUUUACAAAACUAAGCUAGCAUUAGUGGAGGAGGCAGUAAAAGGCAUGAACUUCCAUUUUCUGCGGAAGUCCAAGGCAGCACUCUUUCUUUCUCUGGCUGACAGGACUUCACAGGAGCUGCCUACUGUCUGGAUCACUGUCUUCCCAGCAGGGCUGAUGUCUGUGACAAAGUUUUUUGAUUCUGAUUCCCAGAAGAUGUGGAGAAUGGACAUUCUGGUGACUAUGACUCAACCUUGGAAGCUGCUGCAAGUCCCAGUUCAGAAGUUCUCCUUCCUCCAGCUUGAUUCAACAGUAGUGUAAAACAAUUCUUGAUCUCUGAACACUGCUCAUUAAUGAGAAAAAAUGGAAAGAAAGAAAGAAAGAAAGAAAGAAAGAAAGAAAGAAAGAAAGAAAAAGAAAGAGAGAGAGAGAGAAAGAAGAAAAGAGAGAGAGAAAGAAAGAA